rnacentral:rRNA from 1 species
GACGUAGGAGGCGAGCGUUGUCCGGAUUCAUUGGGCGUAAAGAGCACGCAGGCGGUUUGGCAAGUCGGAUGUGAAAACCCGAAGCUCAACUUCGGGCCUGCAUCCGAGACUGCCCGACUAGAGGUAGGUAGGGGAGAUCGGAAUUCCUGGUGUAGCGGUGAAAUGCGCAGAUAUCAGGAGGAACACCGGUGGCGAAGGCGGAUCUCUGGGCCUUACCUGACGCUCAGGUGCGAAAGCUAGGGGAGCGAACAGG